AAUCUGCAGAGGUGUCGUAUCUGUCUGUUUCCUCUCCUCUGCCCCUCGUUCUCCAUUUUUAAAUACCAGUCCGACUUCCCCCACCAUGGCUUAGAGGAGUUCCAACUCUUUUUAACACAGCCCAUCUUCCUCCCCUCCUCCUCUCCUCCUCCCUCCUGUCAAGAAAUUUCCGAGAAAACCAGCCCAUUCCUCAAUCAUCCACUCGCCAUGGCUUCCGCUACCGCAGCAGCAACCACCCUUCUCGGAUUAUGCAACACUACCCGCCGCUUUGUAUCAUUCCCUCCUAACAGUGGGCCGUCUGAAAGCACUCUAAAUUCGGGUAUUUGGUCGCCAGGCAAAUCGCUUCACCAUAAUUUCCGUCUUCGGUGUAGCACGGUUUCCAGUCCUCCCACCAAAGAAUUAGAUGAGGGGUCCCAAAAUGGCAAGCCUGUUACAAAGUGGCAAGAGAUUCUGGAAGAAGGCAGCACUGAAAAUGGGAUUGUCGAGGCAAGCACAUCAAGUAGGAUAGAAGAGAGCAUAGAAUCCAUUCGGUCAAUGCUCCGUUCCAUGGAUGAUGGGGACAUAAGCAUAUCGGCUUACGACACUGCAUGGGUUGCCCUUGUGGAAGAUGUCAACGGAAGCGGCGGCCCUCAAUUUGCUACGAGUCUCCAGUGGAUCGCCGAUAAUCAGCUUUCCGAUGGUUCAUGGGGUGACAGCAAAAUCUUUUCGGCUCACGACCGGAUACUCAACACUUUGGGAUGUGUUGUUGCGUUGAAAUCCUGGAACAUGCAUCCUGAAAAAUGCGAAAAAGGAUUAUUGUUCAUAAGGGAUAACAUUCACAAGCUAGAGGAUGAAAAUGCUGAGCACAUGCCUAUCGGUUUUGAAGUGGCAUUUCCUUCGCUAAUUGAGAUAGCCAAAAAGUUGAGCAUUGAGAUUCCGGCUGAUUCUGCAAUCCUGCAAGAGAUAUACGACAGAAGAAAUAUAAAGCUAACAAGGAUACCCAAGGAAAUAAUGCACACCGUACCCACAACAUUGCUCCAUAGCUUGGAGGGUAUGCCAGAUCUGGACUGGCAAAGGCUACUAUCACUCAAGUGUGAGGAUGGUUCCUUUCUGUUUUCUCCAUCCUCCACUGGUUUUGCCCUCAUGCAGACUAAGAAUGCUGAUUGCCUCAGAUAUCUGACCAAAAUCGUACAAAAAUUCAACGGAGGAGUUCCGAACGUAUACCCUGUGGACUUAUUCGAACACUUAUGGGCUAUUGAUCGACUUCAAAGACUGGGAAUUUCUCGGUAUUUCAAGCCAGAAAUCGAGGAGUGUAUCGAUUAUGUUCACCGAUAUUGGACGGAGAAAGGUAUCUGUUGGGCUAGAAAUACCCACGUUUAUGACAUUGAUGACACAGCAAUGGGUUUCAGACUCCUAAGGCAGCACGGCUACACGGUUUCUGCAGAUGUCUUCCGUAACUUUGAGAAGGAUGGUGGAUUCUUUGCCUUUGCCGGACAGUCGAACCAGGCUGUGACCGGGAUGUAUAACCUGUACAGAGCUUGUCAGGUGAUGUUUCCUGGGGAGGAGGUACUUGCCGAUGCCAGGAAGUUCUCGUCGGAAUUCUUGCAAGAUAAGCGAGCUAACAAUGAGCUCCUAGAUAAAUGGAUCAUCAUGAAAGAUUUGCCUGGCGAGGUCGGAUACGCUCUAGACGUUCCAUGGUAUGCCAGUUUACCUCGUGUAGAAACCAGAUGGUACUAGAACAAUAUGGCGGCGAAGACGAUGUCUGGAUUGGCAAGACAUUGUACAGGAUGGGAAAAGUUAACAACAACGUCUACCUUGAGCUUGGGAAAUCAGAUUACAACAACUGUCAGGCACUGCAUCAGCUGGAGUGGAGAAGGAUACAAAAAUGGUAUGCGGAAUGCGGCCUUGGAGAGCAUGGACUAAGUGAGAGAAGCCUUCUCCUGGCCUAUUAUCUGGCAGCUGCCAGUGUGUUCGAGCCGGAAAGGUCAAAGGAACGGCUUGCCUGGGCCAAAACAACUGCCCUCAUCCCACCCUCACAUCAUAUUUCAGCAGUGAGCAAAUGGCAGGGGAUCACAUUGAGGCCUUUCUCCGCGACUUCCAACGCUCCUCCUCUAACCUUGACCACACCUCUGGUGGAAGAUACGGGCCGACCCAAGGAUUGCUCAGGACUGUACUUGGAACGCUGAAUCAGCUGUCUUUGGACGCAGUGUUAGUACACGGCAGAGACAUCCAUCAAUAUCUGCGUCGCGCUUGGGAGAAGUGGUUGAUAGCUUUGCAAGAGGGAGGUGAGAUGGGUCAAGAGGAAGCAGAACUUACAGUGCGCACACUAAAUCUGUGCGCCGGCGGCUACCCAUCGGAGGAGUUAUUGUUGUCCCAUCCCAAGUAUCAACAGCUCAUGCGUCUCACUUCUAGAGUUUGUCACCAAAUUCGUCAUUUCGAAAACAAAAAGGUACAUGGUAGGGAUAAUAAUGGAAGUGCAAACGCGGGUGGCAUCACAAGCGUCAGCUCCAUAGAAGCAGACAUGCAAGAACUAGCGAAGCUUGUUCUCACCAGUAGCCCGAGCGAUCUAGAUGCUGAUGUCAAGCAAACAUUUCUCACAGUGGCAAGGAGCUUCUACUACACCGCCCAUUGCAAUCCAGGAACCGUCAAUUUCCAUAUGGCCAAAGUUCUCUUUGAGAGAGUACUUUGAUUUAACAUGUCCAUUCCUUUUGUUCUCGUCGCUAAAUGGCACCCAGUGAAAAGUUUAUUCUCAUACUGUUGUAGUAGUAAUUAAGUGCUCACAACAUGUAUAGAAACGAAUAAUUAUAUGUAAUUUUUCUUUUAAUCUUCAAUGUGCCUUAGAAAAUAUUGGCAAAUCCAAUCUAAGCUUGUGAACGUACAGCAUUUAAUUAAGUGAACUUGUGGAAGAUUACGCA